UACGGGGGGGGGCAAGCGUUGUUCGGAAUUACUGGGCGUAAAGGGCGCGUAGGCGGUUUGCUAAGUUGAAUGUGAAAACUCUGGGCUUAACCCAGAGCCUGCAUUCAAUACUGGCAGGCUAGAGUUCUGGAGGGGAUAGCGGAAUUCCUGGUGUAGCGGUGAAAUGCGUAGAUAUCAGGAGGAACACCGGUGGCGAAGGCGGCUAUCUGGACAGAGUCUGACGCUGAGGCGCGAAAGCCAGGGGAGCAAACGGG
rnacentral:rRNA from 1 species